UUUUARRACCAGUGUUAUUUAUGUAAGUUUAAGAGAAGUUUAUGUAUUAAAUUAUUGAUAUUAAAUAGGUUUAUUAGGCUUAGACUUAAUUUUAGGUCAUUUUGGGGGUUUAGCUCAGUUGGCUAGAGCAUCGGCUUUGCAAGCCGAGGGUCAAGGGUUCGAGUCCCUUAACCUCCAUUGGGCUUAUGCCCUAAAUUGUAAUUAAGUAUGUUUUUAAGUAACUUUGUUAAAGUAAUUGUUGGAAUGUGAAACGCAAGAAGUUAAAAUUUCUGGGUUAAGUUGAGAUCUGUUGAUAUUAAGAAAAAUGUCUA
rnacentral:tRNA from 1 species